AUUGAACGCUGGCGGCAUGCCUUACACAUGCAAGUCGAACGGCAGCGGGGACUUUGGUCCGCCGGCGAGUGGCGAACGGGUGAGUAAUGUAUCGGAACGUACCAUUCAGUGGGGGAUAACUAUCCGAAAGGGUAGCUAAUACCGCAUAUUCUGUGAGCAGGAAAGCAGGGGAUCGCAAGACCUUGCGCUGAUUGAGCGGCCGAUAUCAGAUUAGCUAGUUGGUGAGGUAACGGCUCACCAAGGCUACGAUCUAUAGCGGGUCUGAGAGGAUGAUCCGCCACACUGGGACUGAGACACGGCCCAGACUCCUACGGGAGGCAGCAGUGGGGAAUUUUGGACAAUGGGCGCAAGCCUGAUCCAGCCAUGCCGCGUGAGUGAAGAAGGCCUUCGGGUUGUAAAGCUCUUUCGGCCGGGAAGAAAUCGCAUCAGCUAAUACCUGGUGUGGAUGACGGUACCGGAAUAAGAAGCACCGGCUAACUACGUGCCAGCCGCCGCGGUAA
rnacentral:rRNA from 1 species